rnacentral:rRNA from 1 species
CAGGCCUAACACAUGCAAGUCGAGCGGAAACGGCAGUAUUGAAGCUUCGGUGGAUUUACUGGACGUCGAGCGGCGGACGGGUGAGUAACGGCUGGGAACCUGCCCUGACGAGGGGGAUAACCGUUGGAAACGACGGCUAAUACCGCAUAAUGUCUUAGUUCAUUACGAGCUGGGACCAAAGGUGGCCUCUACAUGUAAGCUAUCGCGUUGGGAUGGGCCCAGUUAGGAUUAGCUAGUUGGUAAGGUAAUGGCUUACCAAGGCAACGAUCCUUAGCUGGUUUGAGAGGAUGAUCAGCCACACUGGGACUGAGACACGGCCCAGACUCCUACGGGAGGCAGCAGUGGGGAAUAUUGCACAAUGGGGGAGACCCUGAUGCAGCCAUGCCGCGUGUGUGAAGAAGGCCUUCGGGUUGUAAAGCACUUUCAGCAGUGAGGAAGGUCGUGUACUUAAUACGUGCACGGCUUGACGUUAGCUGCAGAAGAAGCACCGGCUAACUCCGUGCCAGCAGCCGCGGUAAUACGGAGGGUGCGAGCGUUAAUCGGAAUUACUGGGCGUAAAGCGCAUGCAGGCGGUUUGUUAAGUCAGAUGUGAAAGCCCGGGGCUCAACCUCGGAACCGCAUUUGAAACUGGCAGGCUAGAGUCUUGUAG